CGGAUACAGACUAACACGGCUGCUACUCCGAGACCUGACAGUACGUAAUAGAGAUGUGUUGAUUGAACCAAAGUGUACAAGGUGAUGGGUGAUAACUAGCCACGUCAGGGGGCACUAACUAACUAUGUCAGAGGGGCAGUACGUAACUUGUGUGUGUCGGGGUAUAAAGGUGGAUCUCAGAGGGAGUGUCUUUGUCUA